AGAUUACUAAAAGGACGCGGUAUCUUGACCGUGGUAAUGUAGCAUAAUCACUCGCCGCUUAAUUAGCGGAUAGUAUGAAUGGUCAAACGAAUAUAGCACUGUCUCAAGUAAAAGUUUAAUAAAAUUGGAAUAAUAGUAAAGAUACUAUUUUAAAUUAUAAGACGAAAAGACCCUAUAGAGCUUAACUAUAACCUUUUAUCACUCAAACUAAGUUUACUUAGUAAAGCUAAAAGAUUGGUAGUUUAGUUGGGGCGACUGUUUUCUAUAAAAAACGAAAACAAACAUAGAUUAAUAAAAUAAUUUACUGUAUAAUACAUAGAUUUAACAGUUACUAUAGUAGGUAAUAAUGACCCGUUUUAAUUCAAAUAUUAUAAACGAUUAAUAAAUAAAAGCUCCCUUAGGGAUAACAGGAUAAUUUU
rnacentral:rRNA from 1 species